rnacentral:tRNA from 1 species
GCGGCCAUAGCUCAGCUGGAUAGAGCGAAUGACUACGAAUCAUUAGGUCGGGGGUUCGAAUCCCUCUGGCCGCGCC